GGAGGGACCAUAGCUCAGCGGUAGAGCAUCUAUUUUGCAUGCAGAAGCCCCAGGUUCAAUCCCCGGUAUCUUCA